UGUCACAGGCUGGAGGGUGGGGCCGCAGGCAGGUGUUUGGCCAGGGUUGGCUGUGGUACUCUCCCUGGACCAUCUUCGGAGCUCUGGCUAUUCCCAGGUCUCACUGGGUUCUGCACACCCAGCCAGGCUCAGGCCUCCCCAGUUACAAAUGCAGCUGCCCAGGUUGACCGAGGUGGGCGUUACCAGCCGUAGACUUGCACCUAGGGCCUGGGCCUGGUGUGGGCGAGACCAUGCCUGCAAGCCUGAUCACAGCUAUGCAGUGGAGCCCGGAGUCUUCGCGUGCUCGGUCUCACCAGUGCCUGGCUCGGAGCAGGAGCUCAGCGAGGGAUAGCCCUGUGGGCAGGAGCCUGCUCCUGGGCUGGGCCACGGGCAGCAGGACACCUUUGAGGGGCGGCAUCUGACACCCCACCUGCCUUCUCUUGUUUGCCAAGCCCCUCACCACUGCACUGUGGACGGUGGAUGUCUCACCAGUGGCUCCAGCGUGAAGUGAGGAGACUGACCCAAGCCGGCCACAAAGAUGUGGAUCCUGUUAGCCCCAUUUUGGGGCUUACCCUGGGCCGGGCCUGGCCAUAUUUGCAGGGGAAGCUGACCUUGGUAGGACUGAGGAAUCUGCUCGUUAGACCCGCAGGCACGUGUGUGCCCUCGUCCGGAGAGCAGCCGCAGCCAGCCCGCCAAGCAAGGGUGGAAACAGUUCUCGGCACGCAGACAUCUCUCCGCAGGGCCCCAGGCAUCACCAACCCGCCUGGCACCAGCCCAGCCUGGAUUGCAGUCAGACCUUCCAGCUGGCAGCCCGGCCUCGGUUUUGGCCUGCCUACAGCGAGUCACCAUGUGUUAGCCAGUGGCCAAAGGCUGAGUAGUACUCCGUUUGCAUGUACCACGUUCACUUAGCUCAUCCUCCACCCACGGACAUUGUGACUGUUCCCACCUUCGGGCUGAGUGAUGCUGCCGUGGGCACCGGUGCGUGGGUAACCAUUCAGACCCUGGCUGCUGAUGCUUUUGAGCCCAUACCCGCAAGGGGCAUAGCAGACUGCUCGCACUGCACGUCUCCCCGCAGGCCACACGGGUGUCGCGUGCUCCAUGCUCUUGCCAGCACUUGCUUCUAAGUUGUUUUUAUAUGUACGUUUUUUAUUUCCGUUUCUUUUAUACAUUCAAUCACCUAUGUCACUUAGCUCGCAAAGUGAAUAUUCCAGCAUGUAUACAUUCCUCAACUAAAGGGGUGCGAAGCAGGCGGGCCCCAUAGCCUGCUGGUUAAGGGAGCUGGAUCC